GAGAGAGAGAGAGAGAGAGAGAGAGAGAGAGAGAUUAUUUAUUCCCAGCAUUUACCAACUGCCAACAGUUCCUCCAUAAAGGUGCCAUCUGGAGGGAAUGUCUCCAUCUAUGUUAGAAUUUUUGUUGGAGGGAAUCUUGUGCAGGUAACUAUAGCUGCUGUAAGUCCGUCAAUGCAAUAGUCAUGCCUAGUUCAGAAGCUCAUGUUUCACAGCACUCCUCCCCACUCUCCUCCCCACCCUCCUUCCCACCCUCCUCCCCAUCCUCCUCCCCAUCCUCCAGUUCUUAUAUUCUUUCCACCUCUUGAUCUACAAUGCAGUCUGGCAUUGUUGGUAGGAGGUGGAAUCAGGAAAGGAGUCUCAUGUAGGGCCAAGCACUUAAUUUAGUUUCUUCGCAGCCCUUUGACAGUCAUACACCUGCCCACCGAGUACUGCCCCCUGGAGGAAGAAGCUUUGCUGACCAAGACUGUGAGCAACCCAGAUCUAAGAGUAUAAAUGUAAACAUGGAGAAGAAUAUUUAGAAAUAAUCUAACAACACAACUGUAAGUGUGUUACCAUGUGGGUUCUGGGAAUUGAAUCCAGGUCCACUGGAAGACCAGAAAGUGUUUUUAACCUCUGAACUCCAACUCCCCAACGUCAUGGUUUUUAAAAAAGACUUAUCGCCAUAACAGAAAGCCUCAAUUCUUUAUAGAUGUGGACUAUUUGUAAAUUACAUAGAAACAAAGCUCAAUAAAUAACUAUUAGAGUCACCAUCAUGAAUUUGACGUCACAUUACAUAUGACUCGAUGUUUGAAAACUACUGGAUCUUAGCCAGUAUAGUUUAGACUAUUUAAAGUUGGCCAAAAGGUGAGCACAGGUUGGUGAAAAUAUUCCAUGCUUGCUCUGCUUCUCCAUCCUAAGCUGUGAAGUUAUUCUCUCUCCUGAAUUCUUUCCCAGGCCAGUGCCUGAGAAGUCGCCAUUUUGUCAGCACACACUGAUAUUUUUCUGUAUUCGGUGCAGUGAAAUGAAUUCUGCUUCUGCCCUAUUCUCGAUUCUUGGGAGGCGACCUGGUGCCCAUUGGCUCUAAAGCAAGUGUGACCAUGGCACUGAUGUUAUUACAUGGCAAUGCUGUUAGAAGUUUAUUCACAUGCUUUAGAAGAAACCAGGGGGUAGAAACAAAAUAUGGGAACAUCUUCAUUAAGAAACAGUGGCUUUGCAAGGAUAAUUUUCACACAUAAUCCCUCCUAUCAAGGGUAUUCAUACUCCUGUCUGACAUCUACCACUCCAACAUAAUUCUAUCUACUACAUAAAGUGAGUUGAAUUGGACCCCAUGUCUAUUCAGGCAUAGUCAACUAUGCUAGUGCGGGACUCCUAUAGAUGAUGAAGAAAAAUAAAUAGCCUGGACAUUUAGAGUCUCCCAGAUGGAAAUUAGACUUAAAAAAAUUACAAACUUAGUUCACUUGGAAUAUUUUGCACUUGACACAAAUGGGCAAGAGAUAAUUAUGAUCAAACCUUGUGAAGGCUGCUUUUAUAGAUGCUAUAAAAGAAAACACACAAGCACAAACACAUUGGCUUGCAAGAGAGCAGGAUGAUAUAAUGGCCUAUUUCAUCUGUAAUUUUAGCAAUUAUUAUAAAUGAUGAAUAAAAUCUAACUGAAAGUACUCUUUUAUUAUCUUCCCAAUGUGGCAUGAUCCAAAGGUUGAUCCUGAAAUAGAAGAGCCUCCUUAGAAGUACCAGGAACUGGAACAAAACUGUAGGUCUGGACUUUGACCUUAAGCUCUUAAAGAGAAUAUUGCUCAUUACUCCCCUGGGAACAGAGGAGAUUCUACACUGAGAUCAUCUGGCACUAAAGGAGUCAUGCAGAUAACUCCUAAGAUCAAAGGAACCUACCCCAAAAUUCAAGUUCCACCAGGGGCUGCUGGGGUACCGGGUUGGCAGUACUAAACUGUGCACCAAAGACCUCCUACCUACAAAAGCUGUGCCAAGGUCCACCUGCUGAUGUUCAUGACAAGGAAGCAGGUGAUCCCAUCACUUCGUUGAGGUCACAGAGUAGAGCCAGACACAAAUCAUUCUAAAAAAAAAAAUGCUCGAACUCAUAUCAAGUACUUGAAAGCUAGCACGGCAAGUGCUGUGUGAACCAUCUGUCAGAUUAGCUGGUAUCUAGUUAGGGUGAUCAGAAGUUAGAUUCUUUCUAACAGAAUGAUGUCUCUAUGAAGCUCUCUUAAUGGUCUAGCAUCUUGGGAAUGCAUUGAGCUACCCUUGACUGAGAUUGUUUAUGACAAUUGCCCUAUAGGAAUGUGUACUCAAAAGGAAGCUUACUUCUGAUAUUACCUGAUUGAGACAAGAAGGCAUCGCCUAAUAGCUCCUGCCCAUCUUUAGGGGUGCUCUAGGUACUGUAGACUCGCCAGCCACCCAGAUAGCCUGUCAUUGCCUUCAGCCAGUGUACACCGCAGGCAGACUGGCAGAUCCAAGCAUCCAUUCCCGAAUAGGAGUGUGCAGCUGUAAGGAAGUGUUGAUAGCUUUCACGCCUUUGACAGGAACACACAGUAUCUACUGGAGAACACCUAAUCAUCUUCCUCUGUCAAACCCAAACUGCCCUCCUUUAAGAGUCAAUUGGCUUCCUAGCCAGAUUGGUGCUGUUCUGUGUAGUUGUGAAGACCAUCGGCAGUGGCCAGCAACCAGGUAAUGCACCAUUCAAUUUGGAAAACAAAAGAAACGUCUUAAUGCAAAUAUUCACUGUACACCUGUGAAAACGCCCUGAGUGAAAUUACUUGAGGCUCAGAGGCUAUAACUUAGCAAUUGCUUUGCCCGGCUGGAACAACAUGGCAGAUGGAAAUAUGGUAUGUUUGGGAACUGAAAAAGGCAACUUUGUUCAGGCUUUCAAUAUUUAUCGCCCAGGAAUCGGCUGUUGCUAUACUUUGGUAAUGGGGGUCCCCAGCCUGCAGAGAUCUUAGCUAACAACAUGGCUGGAAGGAGUCAAAUCUCCAGAGCGCCAGUGUAUCUUCUGAAUGGACUAAGUAAGGCAUGAGGCGUGUUUCUUUACCCAGCCCCACCCCUUCCUUUUCAGAUGGAUAGUACCUUGGUCCCCACACUGCUGUUUCCAGAUGGCUGCCAUCACAGCAUCCACCUUGAGCCUAUGGCCUUAGCUUUUUUUUUUUUUUUUUUUUUUUUUUUUUGAAUGGAUACAGAGAAAGAUUUCUACUUACCGAGAUACUCUUGUGAUGGAAAGGAAAGACGCUGGGCUCCAAGUUGCACUUUGAUAAUUAGAUGAGUCUUGACUCCAUAUGAUGCCAGUGUAUUUGAUCAAAGCCCAAAAUGCUACCUAGAGAGUGCUCCAAGCAAGUCAAAGUAGCAGUUCGUCCCACGCUUUGAUUUCGGAACAUGUGUGUGUCCGAAUGGCUGACUGUUCACUGAGUCACAACCUUACCUUCUGUGCUUAUGUAAUUACACAGUGCUCCCUACCUUCCUUUCUUCCUAUUCGACUGCAGACACACAACCAAGCUUUGGCCAGAGGAAUUCUACCAAAGCCACAGGCUCACUUCAAUGCCCCAGAGCAGAGCUGUCACUUAAGAGCUAGCUCCUCCUUCCAUUGCCUUCGGGGAGAUGGAGGAUGGCAGUUUUAGAAGCCAGGUACUGAAGGUAGAGAAGAAAUUGGGUCCUUGAUUCACAGCCUGGAAGGGAAUGAGCCAUCAUUCAGGAGCACCUGGGUCAGACUAAGAGAAAAGAAGUCUUCUUUCUUGUUAGAACAAUGAAUACAGUUUGGGGCUUAUUUGUUACAGCAGCAAACACUAUAGCAGUGUGUCCAGUGGCCAUAAAGAAGAUGAAGGGUGCUUUCUCAAGCUUCCCCUGGACUUCAGAAUACUGUUCGAAUUGACGUGUUUAUCAUCCGAAGAGACAAAAUGUGGACCAAAUCUUUACAAACCCAAAUAUAGCUUACUAUUUUGAUUGCGUGAUUCGAAAUCAUCCCACAUUGGAGGAUUUUUUUUUAGAACUUUGAAAGGUAAAUGCACGCAAUGAAAGUCUCCAGAGUCCAAAAGUAAGGACUAGCAGGAAGGUGAUAGGCUAGCUGUACACAUGGAUUCAAUUUGUUGGUAUUGCUUUUGAAAUUUUAUUUAUACAAAAUACAUAUUUAAUUUCUAAUCUGUAGGAUUUAUGUAGGCCACAGUAAGUUCAAGAGUGUGCAUAAGUACUUUCUAAUUGAACAGUGUAUUAUGAAGGGAAGGAAGAGGAGAGCUUUGACAGACGCAACCCUGACAUUUCAGUGAGAAGAACCAUCUCUGGGUGUUGGUUUAUUCGAAUAACAACGAAUGAACUUCACGUGUGCGUAGGCAUUACACUUUCUGGUGAGCGCACUUACAAAUAUUGGGUCAAUAAUUCUCCCACAGCGCAAGGGUUACUAGACUACUAACUCCUGUCCUCCAAACAAACUUACCCAUAUGCAUCUAUAAUUUAGCGAUACAUCUCUUCCUACUCAAGUUAAAAAAAUGAUUUUCAAAAUGUACAGGUUUUAAUUAACCCCAUCAUCAAACCAAUUUUACAUGAAGUACUUAAACCAUUAUCAAAUAUACUUAAUCUUUUUUCUGUGAUCAAGAAAGGUAGUAUAGAAAUCGAUCAUCAUAUAUUAACCCAAUAGAGUUGAUAUUCACAGUAUAGCCUUGCCUUGUAUGUCUGUAAGCUAUUUCCUUGGUUGACAUAGAGCUACAUAGGCCUCUACUCCAGAUGCCCAACUCCUGCCUUAAGGGCACAGUGAUUCCCCCAUAGUUUGCUGUUCUGAGUAGAGAGAGUGGCUCUCUUAUGACUCCCAUUUUUCAGAUAUGUGAGAGAAACAUGAGGUCAAGUACGUCAUUGACUGAUUCGUUUUAUUCUCAGGAAGAAAGGGCAGACUUGAGGUCAUUGGCAAAGCCCCUUCUUGAAGGUCUAAUUAUUAAAUUUUAAUUUAAAUCUCUUAAACAUUAAAGUUCUUUUUAAGCUUCAUGAAGAAACAAUCUGCCUAAAGUUGGAUGUUAGAGUUUAAAGAGAUACAGAAAAUUUUUAAGUCCUUAUUUAAUUCAUUAGACAUUGAACACAUUCAGAGUUCAAGCACAGUUCUGAGCCUGAGAGUGGAGGAGGAGAAUUUGGUAGAUUUUGCCCAAGUAUUUAUUCUGUGACUGUGGGCAAACUGUUUCUUAUCCAAUGCUCACACAGGAAGGAGAAUGGCUGUAGCCUCUGGAGUCUCCCCCAUUGCUGGCCUCUGGCCAUGCUCUGGUAUACUGAAUGUUAGUCACAGUGACAAGAUACAUGAUAAAAUUAAAGAAGGAAACUGGUUUGAGAGGUUUUAGUUCAUGGUUGCUUGUCCCUGUUGUAUCUGGGUCUGUGGUAAGUCAAGACAUCAAGAUGGAGGGCACCCGGUCCAGCAGAACUCUGUCUUCCCAUCUGUUUCGUUUGUUUGUUUUUUAAUUAGUCCCUGUGUCAUUCUACAAGGACUGGAACAGAUUCUGGUGGGGAAGAGGGGAGAGGCCCUGGAUAAGAAGCCAAACAGUAGAAAAUGCAAAUUGAGAACAGUCGAUAAUGCUUUAUGUCUGACCGAGGCUUUUUGCAUUUGAGAAAAUGAAGAAACAUGUAAAAGUACUUUAGGAAUGAUUCAUCACCCAUGGACAGAGAUGUAUCACCGUUAAGUUUUAAGUGUUUCUUCCCUCUGCCUCACUAGAACUGAUCGCCGCAUGCUCUUUCUCCUGUGUCAUUAACUGCUCUGUGCAAACAUUAUUUGUUCUGAUCUUAUGCGGACAUGUCAUAAUUUUCCAAACCUCUCAUUAGUUUUAGACACUUUGAUUGCUUCUAAAAUUUUGCUACUAUGAAUAACUGAUGAUGAAUGUGCUCACACGUAAUCUUUUUAUGCAUUUCUCAUCAUUUUAUGAGGAUGUAUUCUUACAAGUAGAAUUAGCAAACUCAAUAGUACCAAUCUCCGUGGUUCUUGAAAACUACUGUAUGGUCUCUGUCUAGAAAGCAGUCCCUAUUCCAAAACUCAUAUUCGUGGAAGUAUUUUCAACGCCCUUUGAUGAUUUUGGAAAGCUUUUCCUGAUUUGGUAAGAAGAAAGAAAAAUUUUGAUGUUUCUAUUUUCUUUGAUUUCUAGUGAGGUGGGAUAAAUGAUUCCUUCUUUAAAAGACAAAGUAUUCAUGGGAUUGGAAAAUAUGUGCUUAAUUUUCAAUACGUCUUAUGCUAACAUGUUUUACCUGCUUCAAUGCAGGCUUUCUCUUUUAUUUGUUAUACUGAUAUUAUUUUAUAUUUUUGUUAUAUUCUGAUUGAUUGUAUUUAUGCUGGAAAGUAAUUGAAUGCCGUACGUGGGCUUGUAAUCCACCACUUGACUUAAUGCUAAUUCAUGCUUAAUUUUUUUCAGCUCAUUGUGAAGGGAUUUGUAAUAGACAAUAAAGUAUUAUGGAAAUUAUGAGUGUUCAGUUUUUACCUUUCAAAUGAUUCUGCUCUUAAUUCUCUUUCAUUAUGUCAGCAUCUUCUCUGCCGAAUUGGGCCAACUUGACUGAGCUUGGUAUUUGACAUUGGUUUAGGGUACAGAUUCUUUUACAUAUUAGGAAGAAAUAUUGUCUUCCUUAUCGCAAUAUAAUUAGUUUCAAUGACAGACGUUAAGUUUUGUAGUGUUAUUGACAUGUUCAUGUAGCCGUCCUUAGUUUUAUUUUGUUUUUAAUUAUGCUUAUGUAUGUCUAUGUAUCCGUAUGUAUGUGUGAGUGCAGGUAUCUGCAGUGGCGAGAAGAAGGCAGUGAGCCCUUGAAACUGGAGUUAUAAGCAACUGUGAAUCACUCCCUGUGGGUGCGGGGAGAACACCUCCUCUGCGGGCCAUCUCUCCAGCCUUGUUUGCAUUGGACGAUAGAUAAUAAAUGUUUAUUCUUUUAUUCCAGAUGUGUUACUCUAUGUGACAAACAGUGAGGAUAGUAUCUGUCCUCUAGCACACUCUUUACUUUAUAUAAUGGUGUAUUAUUUAAGCUUUGUAUCUACAGUCACAAAAGAGGUGUUGCCUACAGUCCAAUUUUACAAAUUAUAGGUCAGAUUUUUAUUACAGUUAUGUUAGCUUCUGACAUGCAUCAGUACAUGCUCAAUGUUUUCUCUCUACAGGUUACUCCCACUUUGAUAUUUUGACAGAUUCAUCAUCAGUGAAUCUAUUUUCUCCUUGAAUUUUUUGUGUGAUGGAUAGAACAUUUUCAUAAUUGUUUUUUCAAGUUCUUUAUUGUCAUAUUAUUUCAUCCACUCAAAAUAUCCAUUACUCCCCCCGCAUGCCUUGGUUAAUUGUAAACAUCCUAGAGAUUCACCGCUGUCUUAUGGAUUUCCUAGUAGAAGAAGAUGUGUCGUUGAGAUGAUUUUUAUGGUGCCUAUACACGUUGUACUCAGUCCUCGUGUAAUAUUUUACUUCAAGUAUGUUAUGACUUCCCUUCAUUUCCUGACUUAAAUCAUAAGUCUAUACAUGUCAUAGGGUUUCUGAAUUAAUCAACUAAUUUUUAUUUUAAAAUUUAUUUCUUAUCUUACCUUUAUGGUUCCUUACUACCUACUUCCUUCUACAUUGUUUGACUUUACUUUUUUUUCUAGCUAUUUGAGAUGAAGGAUUUUCUAUCUACUUUCUAAAACUAAACCAUUUCAGGUGAUAAAAUCCCCUUAAAUUGCAAGUUUGGUUAUGCCAUACAAGUGCUAGUCCUUAGUUCGUAUGGUUAUCUCUUAUCAAUAUGUCCCCUGAAAGCUUCUUGGUCUUUACUACUGGUGCCUAAACAUUUUAAAUACUUUUCAAAUGUGUUCCAGUCACAACUUUUCAUCUGCACUUUAAGUUUUGUACCCAAAUGUAUUAUGCAUGAUACUGUUAAACCCUUUCCUCUGGCAACUACAUUCAAACACGAAUAAUAGUCAAUUGACUUCAAAAGAGCUAGUGUUGGUCACAUUACACUUUACAAACUAACAAUAUUGAGUACGUUCUAUGUCAAUUGUUUGGUGCAGUGAACUGGAUCAUUGGAUCUGAAAGUUCAGUCUUGACAGGAAAUCAGCUAGAACUGAUCUCCUAGGCAGAUGUUCCUUGCCUGUGGCAAAAACUAUUUCAUUAGCACCAUAUUUACAAAUGUAAAAAAAAUUUAGUACAUUUUUUCCUUGAUCAGUUAAACUCCAAUUUUGUUUUAAAAAACCAGCCUGUGCUUGCUCUUGUCCACUAAGCCAUCCUUGAUCUCAUAUGUCUAACUACGUCCCUCAGGAUUUUGGAGAGCACCGUGUUCAUCUCAUUGUGUGCACUCCUGCUGUUCCCUUAACUGUUUAAACAUUUUUGUUCAUGUAUUUUUGCAUUUAUGUGCGUAUACUACAAACAGAAGUAAUGUGUGAAGGCAAGGAGAAUGUGUCAGAUAUCCCGCAGCUUGAGCUAUGGGUGGUUGUCAGGUGCUCAAUAUGUUGGAUAAACAUGGGUGCUGGGGAUUGAACUUGGGUUCUCUGGAAGAAAGUAAGCACCCUUAACUACUGAGACCCAUCGUUCCUGCCCUGUGCACUGCCAGUUUGAUAUGAUCACUCCUCUGUGAAAGAUUUUGAGAGCAGUACUGAGUAUAAUGUUAGACCAUUUAUAGUUUACGUUUUUAAAUGAGAUGAACUGAUAUAAUAUUGACUCAAUCAACCAUUUUGAAUUAGUAAUAACCAAUAUCAAUUCAAGCUUCCAUUCUUACUGGUUCUUCAGGAAUAGAGUUGAAAAGGCAGUCCAAAGAGAACCCCUAAGGAGCAGAAAUGAGACCUUCCUACAAAGUCAUAGUGAGAUCUCCCUGGGUUAUAGACAUUCAGUCUCAUCUCCAAAGAACGGGUGAGCUACUUGUUGAUUCUAGGGACAAUGGUUAUAGAACAUUGAACUUGAGGAGGAAGGACCUUGUAAUUUGUUUCUAUUGGAUAAUUAUGGUUUUCCGGCUUGUCAUAUAUAUGUAAGAACAGCCUCUUAAUUCUUCUAAUCUGGGCUCAUGUCCCAGCCUCUGCAAAUGGUCUUUCUGGCCCAGUGUUAAAGGAGCGAUUCUUUGUCCCCAGAAGUCUCCUCUGUGUGCAGAUCAGGCUGUUCUAUUGGUUUCUAGCACUCAUGACUUUUUUCUGCAGUUUUGUCAUUAAGAAAGCUUGGGUUGUUUUGUUUGUUUGUUUGUUUGUUUGUUUUUUUGAGAGGAACUUGAAAAUACUUUUCUAUCUCCCACUUUUGAGCAAAAUAUUGCACAACGCAUGUACCAAAUAAAAAUGUUAGCACAUGGGGUUGGGGAUUUAGCUCAGUGGUAGAGCGCUUGCCUAGCAAGCGCAAGGCCCUGGGUUCGGUCCCCAGCUCCGAAAAAAAAAAAAAAAAAGAAAAAAAUGUUAGCACAUGUGUACAGGUGUGUUAACAUAUGAUGAUGGUAGGUGUGUAUGUAUGAUUAUGCAAUGCACAAAUACUCUUGUCAAAACUUGCCUCUUUCAACCGAAAGAAAGAAAGAAAGAGAGAGAGAGAGUGAGAGAGUGAGAGAGAGAGAGAGAGAGAGAGAGAGAGAGAGAGAGAGAGAGAAAGACAGAUGUGGGGAAUGUUUGUGGAGAGGGUAAAAUGAUCCCAACCUAAAACUUUCCCCAAAUCCUUCAACCUCACUUUCUUCCUCCCCCCCCCCCCCCCCGCCUAGUAUUCAGACAAAAACCUUCCAAGUGAUGUAUGUGCCUCCUUGUGCUGGUACUGGAAAUUUUCUAGUUCCCCCAUGAAAGCUUAAAAAUACUGUCCAUCACACUUAUUCUAAAAUCAUUAUCAGGAAUCAAGAGAAACCCUCAGAAAUACACACACACACACAGCCAUAUACUCACCCAGCCAUAUACUCGUGUACACACAGAUCACUAUCCGGAGCCAUGAGACGCAUGCGUGCCUAACAGCCGGCACAUGUAUGUACCUCUACCCAUGCGAACACACACGUAAUUCAUCCUCUCCUUCCCUGACAGAGAGGGCGGAACUUGAGGGCUCUUGAAGCACAGUUGAUUUCUAACACCAGCUGCCAUGGAGCACUGGUCCAGGAAGCAGAGGGACCAUGUGGCUGAAUUUCAGGGUAAUUAACAAUGUAAAAGGGAGCCCUGGGUGCCACUGGGCACUUAGCAGCAUGUGCAAAACUCUUCUAGCAGAUACCCAGGUGGGCACGAGGCCAACAGUAUCCCCACCCCCUGUCUCCUUUGGCAAAGGAAGCUGAACCUGCUCUAAGGAACAUAAGUAGAGAGGGGUGGAGUGAGGAAGGUUCACAUUAGGCAGCGAACACAUUCUGCCAUCCAUGUUGGAAUAUUGGUCGCAUGCUGUUCUGCCUUAAUUUGUCAAGUCUCUUUAGCAGCCUAGGAAUAGCCUCCUCCCUACCCAGGCAGACUAACCACGUGAACAGUCGUAAGGGAGAUGGUGCCUGCAACACUAACCCCCUAAUUUUUCCUUAUCUGUCCCCACAUCUGCUGCUGCAGCAGGCGGCUGGCAAUUUUAGAGAGGGCAGUUCCCACCGGCCCCAUGUUUCACCUUCUAUUACUUCUGGGCUUUAAUUUCUGCUUGGGUUCCAUUGUCACAGGAGUUGCUGCCAGCGUCAGGUAACAACAAAAUUGGAAAAGGAUUCUUACCUCCUCUCAAUGCUCCCUACAAACUAAUAUGCAUGUCCCGGGUGGUAGUUUGGAAAGAGGACCUCUUAGGGAGCUGUAAGAAUAUUAGAGUUGAGUGGGAUUUUUUUUCCUCUUCCUCCAACACUCUCCUUAGAACUACCUUGCUGCUCUGUUUCCUCUGAAAGAGCUAACCAAUGGUGGGGAGGCUGCUUCGUGCUCUGUGUUUAUACAGGUGAAGGGUUGGCAGAGAUACUCCCUCUUGUUUUUCUUUGGAAAGAGCCUUCUGAGGGAGCAUGAGAGAGUGGAGCUCUUCAGCUCAGUAGAGGAGACCUUUUGCUAGCAGGCUACUGUGUUCCUCUCAGUUCAACCCAGGCUACUCAGAUUCCGCUGUAGCCAUGCCAGGCUCCAAAGAAUUCACUAAAAAAGGCCAAUCUCUAGUAUGCCUCCAGGACUUUUGGUGGGAUGAGCGAUCACCAAACAUGGCUCUGUCUAGUCGCUUCCUAUUUAGAUACCCUCCCUGAGAGCCUCCAGAAUGUUCUGUGCUUACAUUUCUCGUGUAUUGGGCCUUUUGCAAUGAAACAAGGACGGCCAGUUAUAUGUUGUGACAUUUUCAACUUUUCUGGGCAGGACAAGGGAUGCAUUCUAACACUGGGCAUGAAAACAUGGUUUUAUCUGAACAGGAUAUUUUCCCUUCUGUUUGUUGACUGCCUGUUGUCAGUUUGAUUCCCAUUGUCUUUCUCUUUUCUCAUUGUAAUGGACUCCUAGUCAGUUAUCUCUGUUUGAGAGAGCACAGUCCCUUGCGGUGAGGGAGGCAUAGCAGCAGCCUGCUGAGUGGUGGCAGCUUCCUGGUGGUGGAAAUAUGAAGCUUACUCAGCUCUCCUUUGAAGGAUGCAGUUGGGAUGCUGGCUCUCAGCUGUCUUUCUGGACCCAGCUUCUGAGAUUAUACUAUCCCAUUUGGGACAGGUCUUGCUCCCUCUGUUAUACUCUCUAAAAACACUAGUCUCGUGUAUAAACUCAAAGAUGUUCUUCACUAGUACUCCAAGUGUUUCAGAAUACAACCAAGUUGACCCUCAAAAUCAGCCCACACGCCAUAUCGUGAAUAAGGUGGAACUCUACUCUCCAACUGCUUUGUGGUAGGACAUCACUUUCUCUGGCCUUCAGAUCCAUGCUGCAGUUCCAGGGUCUCUUGGAUACCAAGUCCACCAGGCUCUGUCAUUAGGCUUACCCUGUCAGCUCUUGAGGUCUCAGAGUCAGAUCUGAAUGAACUCUACCCGCCCUUCUGGAUCUCUGACUUGCUGACGACAGAUCUUAGGACUUGCCAACUUGUUUAAUCUCGCGAGCUGAUUCCUUUUAGUAAAUCUCUUUUAGUAUUUACAUCCUAUUCUCAAGAGAACCCUGACUGACUGGUGGAAGUAUUUUUAAAACUUGACCUCUAUGAACGCCUAUACUGGGAAUAGUUUAACAUCUAUAAAAGAGAGAAAGCAAUAGCCAAAAACAGUUACGUUAGAUUGGCUGAGUAGCAUUUGAUCCACCUUAUACUGUACAAAACAUGUGACCAGCCCAUUGCUAUGUUACAUCUGGCUUUGCUGGUUCUUAAUCAUCACAAGCCAUCAUCUGACAUCAGUUUCUGCAUCAAGUUCUAGGGCAUACAGUAGUUGUUAUUGCUUUAACUAUUGCUGAUUUCAAAGGCCAAUGGACAAUCAUGUAGAAAGGCAGGAGAGCCUGGGCUAGAAUGGUUUUUUAGAUGAAAUAAAUUUCUGCUGAUGGCUUUCUGUUGAACACAGACAUAAAGGGCUUUCAGAGCUCUGAGGAGUUUCAUUAGCCUGGGAAAACUAAGCAUAAGUAUGUUGUCCUCGUGAUUACUUUUGAUUAGUUACCAAAUGCUGUUGUUUUUCUUCUUGAUAGUUAGGGAUUGAACCCACAAUCUCAUGCAUGUGAGGCAAGCACUCUACCACUGAGCCAUAUCCCUAUCUCUUCACACAUUUAAUCGUGCCCUUAUAACUACUUCCCUACUUAGAAGGACAAAUGGCAGGAACUUUGAAUACGUGGAAAGUCUUACAACCACCCAGCCUCUGAGCUCAAUGGCUAUUCAAGAUGGAAACCAAGGUGUUUCUUAGGGGGCCUCCCAAGUACGCUUCAUUUGUCACAAAAGCAGAAAAUAAAACCAUCUGGAAACUUCUUCAAAGGGUACCUGUUUUCUGUAUGAAGAGACCUGCAUGAUCAAUUCAUAGAACCAAAUUAGGCUGUUAUAGUUCAUCUUAGGAUUUUUAUUACUGUGAUGAAACACCAUGACCAAAAUUUCACCUUACAGCUUAUAGUUCAUCUUCCAGGGGUUCAAGGCAGGAAUCUGGAGGCAGGAACUGAUACAGAGGCCAUAGAGGAGUGCUGCUUACUAGCUUGCUCUUCAUCCCUUGCUCAGUUCCUUUUCUUAUACAAUCCAGGGUCAUCAGUCCAAGGAUAGAUUGCCACAGAAGGCUGGGCACACAAACACCAUUCAUUAAUCAUGAAAAUGCCCCACAGCCUUGCCCUCUGGUCAAUUUGGUGGGGGAAAUUUUCUCAAUUGAGGGUCUCUCUUCUCAAACGACUGUAACCUGUGUCGAGUUGACAUAAAACUACCCAAGUCAUAGUUUGAGCUAGAAAAAGGCCAGAAUAUGCCAUAACUUCCCUUCUUUGAGAGUCAUUCCCUUUGUGACACUUCACUGAUUAUUAUUAUCUUUACUACUGGGUGUCAGGAGAGCAUCUAUACAGAUGAUCACAUUGGCUUUUCUGAGAUUAAAGUUGCAUUUUGAAGCAGAGUUGAUUAUGCAGCUACAUGCAUAUUUUUUUCUUAUUAAGGGCCACUUUUUCUUUGCCAGCCAUUUUGUCUAAUACUUCUAGUGUGUUGUUUAACUGAAGGCCUACAACAUGUUCUUAACUUUGUUACUGUGAGUAUCAACUUUUCUGUUAGGGAAACCAAACAUAAAAAGAAUAACUUGGCCUGUGGGCUUAAUUAAGUCUGCCCCAACUCACCCUUUAGACAUGGUGAGGUCUUUCUUAGCCCUUGGUGCAUUUGGAUGUGAUCUUCUUUAAAAAUGAAGGUUCAGUCAGUUCAGCUGAGGUCAUUUGGGGAGACUUCAGCCUGACAUGACUCCUGUCUUCAAAAGAAAAAGAAAAUUGAAUACACAGAGUGCAGAUACUAUAGAGAAAGAAGGAGACAGCUGUGUGGCAAAGAACAUGGAUAUCAGAGUGGUACAUCUACAAGGCAAGGGGGGCUAAGGACUCUAGGUGGACACAAUAUUCAUAUCCUCUAAGAAAGAUGGGACAUCCCGACACAUUGAUUUCACAAUUCUAGCCUGCAGACCUGUGAGAUCAUAAGUUCCUGUUUUUAAAAAUCAGCCCCAUUUAAAGUGUUUUUAGCACAUCAUCCCUGGGAAAAUAGUCCAGUUCCCUUGCCCCAAGUCUCAGAAGUAACAGACUUAUAUACUAGGAUGUGAACCCCUGCCAAACUGAAUGUCAAAUCCUUACGCAUUGCUCAUGGUCUAGUAAAAGCAACUAAUACUACCGAAGUGGUAAAAAUUGAGGUUCUUGAGUUCAAUAGAGGCUUCCUAGCCUCAAGUGGAUCUCAGGAUCUGGGAUUCUCAAGGCUCACAGGUACACAGGGGUCUCCUUGACUCUGCAGUUCUGGGUUCUCAUUUGGUGGAUUCAGAGAAUGAAAUACAUUCUUUGAAGGAUGAGUUCUCAAAAAGGGUUUUGUUAUAGGACUAAAGGUGGAAGCUUAAGAGAGAGUAAGGGCCAUUCCCGUACAGAAGAAGUGGGUCCCAGGAAACUGAAUAUCACUGUGGGCCCCUGCCUAGCAUUAAUGAAGUAUAGAGGUGGGAGAUGAGCUGGUCAAUCCAGUCAGCCUAUCCACAGGGAGUUUGAGUGCCUCUUGUGCCUUCAAUUAUAGCAUGCAAGCUGGGAUAGUCACUAUGUUGCAUAUAAGAGGAAAGAAUGGGGCCAGCAAGAUGGUAAAGACAUUUGCUAUACCAGCCUGAAGACCUGAGUUUGAUCCUAUGAACCCUUGCAGAGGCAGGAGAGAGCCAAUUCUAUAAAGCUGUCCCUUGACCUCCCCAGAUAAUAUUAAAUCUCAAAAGCUUUUUAAAAAUAAUAAGAGGGAUGAAAAGUAGCAAGAAACCAGGUCAGCAGCUAGAGCCUCCUCUGAGCAUUCUUGGACUAUGUGUAAGACAGAACCAAGGACAUUUGCUGCUUCUGGCCAAGGAUGCAAGCUAUGACCGCUUCUAGGGUCUUUGAUCUAAAAGUACCUCACAGGUUUCUAUCUACUGUUCUUAUCACCACUUGAGAAAAUGCUGCAGGAGGGGUGGCAUCGAAAAGACGUCUGUUGCCUAGGAGGAUCACAGUCUAGAUGAUGAAGGAGGAGAGCAGAGAAAGCCAGGCAGAAAGAAUAGGGCAAUCGAGGAAGACAUGGUAUGUGUUGUGCUUCAAGAGGGGAAAAACAUUGCUCAUCCAAAGGUGAGGGGAGAGACCCAUGAUAAGGACAUGGCAUUCUGUAAACACUAUUUCCCAGGAAUGUCUGGAUGCAUGCCCACAGGUGCCUUUCUGUAGCAGAGGACCAUUGAAAAUGGCCAGAUGGUUAUAGGCUAUAAUGCUGGCAUUAUAGAAGCCCCUGCCCUUCCAUUCACUGUGGAAGAUUUUGUGCUAUAGUUAAGCCUCUUAGGCAGAGUGAGCCAGAAGAUUCCAUUCACAAACACACACACACACACACACACACACACACACACACACACACACACGCACACACGCACACACACACACACUAAGGAACAUUUUCCUUGCUUGUCAUUAAGGGCUUUCUCUUAAUUAAGUCAUCCACUUACUCUCAACCAGAAGAGGACACCCGGAAGUCCUUUUCUAGGAAAAAAGUUUCUCUCUCCUCUUAGUAACUACACCUGACCCCACCCUUUCAAUCCCCCAGUUACUAAUGUUUAGGGGUAAAUAAGCUGAGGAGAUAUGGUGCUAGUCCCUUUGAUCUUAAAGUGGGAAAAACAUAGCAGGAAAGACACUGGAGCCUGAGCUCCUGGGUGAUGUCAAGAGAGUGCUCCAUACACCCAACACAGACAGACGAAGUUAUGUCUCCUGGUGAGAUCCUAGCAGCUCAUGCUCUGAUGAGGCAGGUCAUGAGCUAGUUACUAGAGGACAUUGCUAGCAAAUCUCUAGAUUCCAGGUUCUGCCUUAACUCUACCAGUGAAGACUCUUACUGACUACUUUUCAAGUUUAUCCACUUCAGGUGAACUCAUUUACACGAUGCAAAAGAGGCUAUGCAGGCAGUUGUCAUUGCCUCUGGCGUGUCUUUCCAUGGACUAGAGAGCAGUGCCAAGAACAUCCUUUCUUCUUUUGUUCUGUGCCCUCCUAGGGAAGUGGUCUCCAAAUGCUGUCGAGUCUUUCUUGUUUCCUGAUGCCUUUGUCUGCUUUUCCCUUUCUCUCCAUUUCCCAGGACACAGUUGACACGGACUCAUUCGCACCCAUGCUUCGGGGGCAGUCACUGAUUAACCCCUCUACAAAUUGAUUCCUCUGCCUCCCCUCCCGCACUGUGCUAUCAGAAUUUCAAUUAUAGCUUCAGCAUGGAUAACGUGAGAACUACCGUUCCAAACCUCGUUCACUUUAGCCCUCCCGUGGCUAGGUAAGAAGCUAGCCAAAAUCUCAGAGUCUUAAAACAGCACUUACUAUUGCUAUUAUAUCUCUUGAUAGAUUGUAGAGCUUACCUGGGCCUGACUACUCACCUACUCCUACUAUCAGACCGUAGCCAGGAGGCUGGGAUUAGCAUCCAAGACCUGAUUACUCAUGUGUGUAUUGCCAAGCUGAGGUAACUCAAACAACUGAGACUCUUUGGGGCACCUCUCCUUUAUGUCCUCUCCUCACAGUUUUUCCCUCUUUGUAGUUUCAGUGUAGAUCAAGUCUUAUAUGGCCACUUUAGGCUCCAAAGGCAGUUAUUACAGGAGAUGCUAAAAAAAAGGGUAAGUACUAUAUUGUCUUUUACUUCUAAGCCCAGGCACACAGUGCUUCAUCUGUCAUAGAUACCCCCAGAGUUGAUGGGGAGGGACCACAACCCCUCUCUCAACUUCAUAGGAGAGGCUUAGCGUCCCAGUGCAAGAAGAGCAUGUGGGAAUGGAGUGUAUUCAUGAGGCCAUGCUUAGAAAAUACAACCUGCCACAGUUACAAAUCCAGUGUCUGGCAAAUUGCCUGGUGCUUAAUGGUCUCUCUAUAAAUAUAAAUGGUUGAAUGAACGAAUGACCCUCAUCUCCCUCUAUAGACUGUAUUAUCUUAUGCCCAGCCAUAGAAGCAGCUUCUAUUCUUGUCUCCUUUUCCUGCAGCCCAUCCUAUGUCCAAUUUAUCACUUACACCAUUUUCUAAAGAUCCAUUUUCUGAAACCCCUGCUCUUCCCAUUUCUCCUUUUCAAAACCCAUCAGCAGUCCCUAAUGGCUUACAGCAGAAAGAGGGCAGUGCCCCAGUGUGUGAUGUUGGGAAGUUCCUCACUAUACCACAAGUCUGCAUGCCCACAGAGAUAUCUCCCUCUACUGUGGACGAAAAGAAGAGCAUCAGAAGAUGCUGAAAUGAGCUAAGUAUUGUAUUGUGUUGUAUUGACUUACUUUUCACAGGGGCAGCUUUUGUUUAUAAAAUUACAGAGUUCUUGUUCAGUAUAAUGGAUUAAAAUCCACAUUUUCACCAAUAGAGUGAUGGAAAGGGGGAAGCACACACAUUCCCAACACAUGAGGCUGGGGAUACAGCGUCUUUGGCAGAGCGCUUGCCUAACAUGCAUGAAGCUCUGGGUUCAGUCCUCAGUAUUGAAGGAACUGGGUAUGAUCACACAUGCCUCUAGUCCCUAGCACUUGAGAAGUAGACACAGGAGGGCCAGAAGUUCAAGAUCAUCCUUGGCUACGUAGUCUAAGCUGCACAAGGACAAAACACAAAGCAAACAGAAAAACUAGUGAGCAGCAAUGACAAAAAACAAAUACACGAAAAGCUAGAAGUGAGAUGGAGAAGAAAAAAAAAUGCCUCAAGUACUCAGAAACUGGAAGAUAAUGGAAGUCCCUGUUGUGUAGUCUUGGGGUUUAAGAACUGGAAAAAAACACAGAAAAGCCAAAGACCAUAAAAGCUUGAAUGAGAAGGAAGAGCUGUGUCACCCCCAUCUUCUCUGAGAGGUUGAAGCAGGGGACUCUACAUGUGGAUGGAUAACAAGAACAGCUGAUGUUGAGGAUGUUAUUGGAAACAGAUGGAAUUAAAUAAAAAGUCACACAUGGGACAAAGAGCUUCUCAUCAUUUCUUUUUCUAUUAGGCUCAUGCAGUGCUCCAAGAUAAGUUGUGCCCUAUACUGCCCUAGCCUGCACCACCCAAGAGCUUGGUGAGUCCUCUCUGAGGAGGGGGAAUUCAGAUGAUUAGCUCUUGAAUAAUAGAUUUAGAGAUUCUUUUUUUCAUUAACCCGAAAGGAAACUCACGAGGGCACAGUCUGAAAGAGGUGACCAUAAUGGUCCUUUGGCUAAGAGGAGCUUGUCCAUGAUCACAUUACAUUGGGAGAUAGACACAUAAAGGAGCAGCAGAAGGAGCUGUGGACAAAGGUCAGGAAGGAGCCACCAAUAAGAGCUAAGGAAAGAGUUAAAAGGACAACAAAGAAGACAGUCUGUAUAAAGAUUAGAAGUGACACUGAGCACAUGGAACUGAGGGUAGGGGUUUGGAACAGAAAACCAAAGGUUCUGUGGCCCCCUAACAUUAGGAUACCAAGGAAUUUCAUAGAGAACAGACAGGACAAAAGUGAGAACAAAAAGAGAGUGCAAGAAAAAUUCCUGAACAGAAAGACGAGAGUCUCCAGACAGUGUCUGGAAAUAUCCAUCCAAAUUCCACUUGAAGGGAACAUCUGAACAUCCCGGAGAAUCUGAGUUCCACGGGUACAGCCAGCAUAACGCACUCAGCACAGACAUGAGCAGUGCCUGACAGUGGCAGGCCGGAGUCCUUGGGAAACAACCUUCACCGUCCUGAGAGAGAAGGCCAAAGGAUAGCUUCUUUACAUUUACUCUUAAGAGGGGUCUGUGCAUAGACUCAAAAAAUUACCAAAACUAAACAAAGGAAGCAAUCGAUCUAGGAGAGGUGGGAAGGAGUUUCAAGUGCCGGGCUCUCUGCAGCAGAUCUAGAAAGUGAUCAGAGCAGAGUAGGCACCAGAAAAGAUGGGAAUUCUUCAAGGACAACUGACACACAGAGCCUGCAGCACUGGUUCCAAAGCUCAGAGAAGAUUCUGCACUUCAGGCAGUCUGGAGGUAAGUUAGUAGGAUGCUCGUUAAAAAUGAACGAGGAGCUGGUACAAUGACUAAUUCCAGCAGACAGGAAAAGGAAUCAAAGAAAAUGGAUUUUUGCAUAUAUCUUACAGCUCAUCCCUGAACGGACCGUACAUGAUGAUUCUAAUUGUGUGAAGCUUAGCGGUGACAUAUCAUUACCUUAAAAUAAGUAAAUAAAAUGAAAGAAAGUGGGGGUGAGAGUAAAAGAGAGAAGGGGGGAGUGGGAAAUGCCUGAAAGCUGUUUCCCCUAUAGUACCAGGAAGCUCUUGCUUGCAUGAGGAUAUCUGAAUUCUCUUUACAGCACUCCCUUCUACCCCAGCCCUGUGCUGAUUAGAGUCACCCAACACCUUUGGCUUUCCAGCUGUGCCCAUCUUCUCUCCUAUCUCAGAAUUGUCCUUAUCACCCCUCUUCUCCAUGUUUGAUUAUUUAAACUGUUCUCUGCACUCUGUGAAAGUCUUUAUGGCCACCCCCAUUUUCAGGGAACUUUCCCCUUUUUAAACUACCAAGGCAGUUACUAUGUGCACUCAAUUAGCCUUGGGGAUUUUGCAUUUCAGCUUUCCUGGAGAUGUGUGCAAUGAAUGCCUCUGUACAGGUCUUGAGGACAGAUUCUCCCACUGUGGCUCAUGGGGUGCCACGGAGCUGUCUACAUGUGAACAACAGGGGUUGGUUGUGACUCUCUACUGAUCUCCUGUGCCUGUGGUCCUGGACCUGAGACGACAGAAUCUGUCAUUUCUUAGAGACACUGCUUGUUCUAUGCUCGGAGCAUGGCGCCCAGGGAGAGGAGAUAAUUUGGACACAGAUGGAGUGUCCCCAGUACAAUCGGUGGCAGUUUUGUUUUGGACAAGCUGUUCAUAACAAAGCCGCGUGGGAAAAGAAUCAGCAGGUGGAGAGAGUGGUCAAAUCAAGUCUUAGCUCCUCGAGGAAGAGAAAAGGCAAGAGGCAUUCCAAGUCUUAAAGUACCGGGAGUCCACCCUCUCUUCCCAGCCCUUCCCCUGGAACGAGGAGAGACCUCUCAACUUGCUGCUCCAGCUACUGCCUUCCAUAUCUCCCCCAUAGUCAUGGACUCCUCCUCUGGAACUGUGGCCAGAAUAAACUCUCUCUUUCAUUAGUCUCUUUGGGUCACAGUGCUUUAUUACAGGAGCAGCAACAAUAACGACGAUAACGACGAUAACUAAUACGGAGGCCUUCCCACGUGGGAUGGAACGCAGAUACUCUCCAGCCAAGAAAUGUGACAAAGGAGUGAGACCAUGAAGUACAAGGCUUUGCGUAUCUUUACUCGCAAAGUCAAGAAGGCUGUGUUUCCUGUUGAUGAGCAGAUGGAAUUCUGGGGCUGUCCUGGCAAAGAAAAAAGCCCACAGUAAGUGCUGCUUGCUUACCCAGGCAGCCUGGGAAGGCGGCUCAGGUGACAUUUCCUUGGUGUAUUCCGAGGUUUGUUUGGACACCUGAAGCGUUAGUUGAGGUUGGUCUCUUGCUGCAGGGAAGCUUCCUGAAUAAACUGCAGGCUACACAGUCGGUACAGUUAAAUGAUGUUGGUAAAGAAUCGAGGCAGAUGUUUGGGAGGGGGGGAGAGGCGUAGUGUGCGUUACUCAUCAGAGCAGGUGAGGUGUGUGGUGCUUCUUGGGAGCACUGAAGAGUUCUCUAUUAUGAAAGGUGAGAGGAGAGGAGAAGCAGACCCUGUUUCUCAAUACUGACAACUCCUGGCUCUCAAAGGAACAAAUCCAUCUUUCUGCCCCUCAGCAACACAGCACUCACACAGAUUGAUUGGGGGAGCUUCCCCCCACCCCCUUUCUUCUUUUUUUUCCACUAUUCCCAAAGAAAAGCAUUCAAGUCUUUCUUAACCUUACAUUCCAGCCUCUCAUGGUGCCUAUACUCAGGAAAUACUUCUUCAGGUUUAACUAAAUCCCUCUCUGCAAUGUGAGACCAUCGCUAUCCUCCAAGGACUCACAGAACAGCUGCCUGGCACCUGGCCAGUCACACCAUUCCACGUUUCCAUUGUUCAGGGGAGGAACGGCUCUAGGCUUUUGCUGAUUGGCUCUCACCACCCAGCAGGAACUCAGGCCAGAACACCAGGCUGCACUGAGGCUGCUUUGCUGGGAUGUGAAGCACUAUUCUCCCAGGACACUAUUCUCCUAGGACUCUGAAGCCAGCACAUGUGACUUAACACUUUCUGAGAAUGACAUGCUCUGUGGGGGGUGUGUGGGGGGGACAUUGAAAGGUGGCUGGGAAUGUCUUCAUAGUGCUUCACCUAGCAAGUUUCAUAGGUGUUAUAUCUAUUGUGGUUUUUUUUAAACCUUUUCAGGUAGCCCAGGCUGGCCUCAAAGUUGCUAUGUUGCCAAGGAAGGUCUUGAACCCCUGCUCCUCCUGCCUUUGUCUUUAAAGUGCUGGGAUUCUUAGGCAUGUGUCAUAUGCUUGGCUUUAUAGCUCCCGUGUUUUAAGAUAAACAAAGGUUGGCUCUAUCAAAGGCCACACGGGUAAGAAAAGAAGCCCGGAGUUGACCCUCAAAUUAUGAGCAUGCACGUUUGGUGCCCCUUCCAAUAUAUGAGAGUGCCUCCCGAGGAACAGGAGAGUAUAUGUGGCCCUGUCUUUGCAGACCUCAGUGUAACAGGCAGCAGAGGCCAGUGCAUAAGAAAAGAAGAAAACGGCUCACUGACAACUACAGACAAGAUCACGUUUUCAAUCACUAUCAACUGUGAAGCUAGUUAGAGGGUUUGCUUAGGAAGGCAAGAAGAGGCCAGGGGAGCUCAUAGGAGGUUUUAGAGACAGAACUUCUGCUGUUCAGCCCUGACCGGGGCUUAACACUGCUCAGUCCUGCCCAGGCUCACUCCCACUGAGCUUCAGUUUUACCCUUUAGGAAGCAGAAGAAUAAGACUUUCACAAGAUUAUUGUUUAAAGUAGAUGAACUGAGUAGUAAUUAAUGAGUAGUCAGAUAGGAGAAGCUAAAUAAAGGUUUAGACGGUUCAUGUUCUGGAGCGAACAGAGCAAUCGGAGGUUAAGUCAGGAAAGGUUGUAUGAAAGAAGAAAGAAGAUUGAAACUCAGGAAGAAGACAAAGGAAGCUGCCAUUCUUCGCCCUUCUGCACUCCAAUGGGGAUGCUAUCUUGGCCUUUGAAUGUGAGGACCUACACUGUCUCUGUACACCACAGUAUGGUAUAUUCCUGUAUCAACUGGUCACAGGAGAGACCAUGGGUGGAUGACUUAUACGAUACCCAAGGAGAUGCAUUAAAGCAGAAAAUACCCCAGGGUGAAGAGUCACUUUACUAUACUGCCAUGAAAACUUGAGUGUGCUGUGAGGUUGAACAAUUAUCAGUGUGGAUAACUUCUGGAAAUGUUAAAUCUAAUGAUUCGACUUGCUUACCAUGGACCUGCUGCUUCUGAUUUAAAUGGGAGAAAUGGCCUUCUGUAGACUCCACAAAUUAUUGGAAAUGGAACUGUUGCAAUUCUUGGAGCCUUUCUAUUGACUGAUGAAGUAAAUCAUCUAGUAAAUGGAAAUCCAAUUUGAAAGGCAUAGAUUUAAAUGAGUUAAUGGGUGAACUGAUAAGGCAAAAUGGUAACAGUAAUAAGAAAGGAAAAAAAAAGAGCUAGACUUGGUGGGAAACUUUUAAAUAAGCUUUAAACAGCCAGAAGCCAGAGAGGGAAACCAUUGGGUGCUCACAUGGACUGUGGCAAAAGAGCUUUUGACAUUUGCCCAAUCCAGUGUGGAUCUGCGGAAUGCAAACCACGAGGCCACCGGUAUUUCCAAAGGCAUGCAGUACUGCUUGUGGCUGUCUGAUAAGCUGGUUAAGGUGCCCAGACUAAAGGAUUGUGGGAAAUUCAGCCUGUAUGCUUCUCUGCUGCCAAAGCAUGAUGUGGGUUUCUGUGGCUAGUGAAAUGAAGCCAGGAGUUUUUGAGGCUUCACCAUCCUGCAUGUUAUUCCUGCAUGGACCACUAACAACACACAGAGGCACUGGUCUGGGAAUCCAGUGUACAGCCUGCUGAGAAAAGAUGCUCCCCAAAUACAGGUGAGAAAACAGAAAAGGCAAGAUAAUCAUACUUACUGAAAGUCUACUCUGUACCAGGUACUAUGCGUGUUGUUUUUGUCAAUCCUCAUAACUGUCUGCCAGACAGAACUCUGAAGCCCUCUAAAGGAACUUAUUGUAGAACUGCAAUUUUAACUCAGACCUGACUGACCGUGAAGUAUAGUAAGACCAUGAUGGCUUUUCCAUCUCAUAAAUUUAACCCCUUCAAAAUAAAAUGGUCUAAGCUCACUGAGCUGUCAGUAUCUAUAUGCUGUCAGACUCGGAUGAGCUUGAGUUUCAAAGCUGUAUCCAUAUUGUAAAACAUGAGACCACUGAGUGUUUGAGUUGAGAGAUUCGAAGUUUAUUCCACUAGGCAAGAGAAAUCAAAGAAGGUUUUAGAAAGUAGUUAACAUUGGGGUUAUCAGAGUUUGCCUUCUAUUGCUGUAAUAGGCAUGUGAAAAUGUGGAUAAGCAUGUCCAAAAGCAACCUGGGGAGGAAAGAGUUUAUUUGGUUUACACUUCCAUAUCACAGUCUAUUUUUGAAGGAAGUAAGGACAAGAAUACCAGACAGGAAUUUGGAAGCAGAGAACUGAAGCAGAGAACGUGGAGGAAGGCAGCCUCCCAGCCUGUUCCCCUUGGUUUGGUUGGACCACGUUUUUAUACUAUCUACAAUGACCUGCCAUGAGUGGCACUAUCCCUGCCACCAGUGGGUGGGGCCUGCCCACAUUAAACAUUAAUCAAAAAAAUGCCCCAGACUCUUGCCUACAGGAAAUCUCAUUCAGAGUCAUUUUCUCAGUUGAGGUUCUUGUUCCCAGAUGACUUCAGCUUGUUAGCAAAAUAAAUACACACAUAUAUACAUACAUUCAAACAUGUAUACAUGCAUACACACACACACACACACACACACACACACACACACACACACACCAGGACAGGGGUAUGGUCAUACUUUCCUUCCCCACUUUUAGAUUGAAAUUCGCUUUUUCCAGGGUGUAAGAAGAGACCAACUAGAAAGCAAAUAGAGAAGGAAAGAAGCUUUGAAUUAAGUGGCAACCAGAGGGCCUAAGUGAGAGGUAUAGCAGAUUACGUGUCCUUAAGGAUGGCCACAGAAACACUUCCCAUCAUCCUGUGGUUCCCCAUAAAGACCUGGAGCCUGUGUUCUCUACCUUGGCAAGCCUUUGUGACUAAAGGGUACUUACUAUGUGACUUCCAGGGCCAGAUCAGAGACAACAACCCAACCCAAGUUAUACUUGGUUCUCUUUGUCUCAAGAUGUGGCUGUUGGAAGCUAGCUGUUACUCGGUGAGAAAAAGUAGCAAGCCAAUAGGAAGUACCUGUGGAAAGAAAAUGGCCCCACCUGAAGCCCUCAAAAUAGACUGCAAUGAUACUAGCUAGCUGAAGAAGACAUCCUAGUGGGGACCCUCCCUUCAGUACUUAAUUGAUGUUUCCUGUGUGACACAGAACAGUUGAGGCAAGCCUCCUUUAAGUCCUGCCCAAUUACAAGCUUGUAAACAAGUUACAUUACCAAGGUUACUGGUGAUCUUUAAUGUAGUGGUAACCAGAUACGAGAAGGGACAAUCAGCACAAAAAGAGCCAAUAAGAAAAAGGUUCACUGGUCUGUUAGCCAAUGGGCGCUCUCUCUCUCUCUCUCUCUCUCUCUCUCUCUCUCUCUCUCUCUCACACACACACACACACACACACACACACACACACACACACACACACACACACACACA